rnacentral:misc_RNA from 1 species
GAUGAAGAACGCAGCGAAAUGCGAUAAGUAAUGCGAAUUGCAGAAUUCAGUGAAUCAUCGAAUCUUUGAACGCACAUUGCGCCCGCCAGUAUUCUGGCGGGCAUGCCUGUCUGAGCGUCGUUUCGACCCUCGCGCCCGGCUUCUGUCGGGGGCGGUGUUGGGGAUCGGCCACACCCUUCAGUGGGAGGCCGGCCCCUAAAUUCAGUGGCGACCACGCUGUAGCCUCCCCUGCGUAGUACUAAAACCACCUCGCAGGCGGAGAGCGGUGCGGCCCGCCGUAAAACCCCCAACUUUUACAAGGUCGACCUCAGAUCAGGUAGGAAUACCCGCUGAACUUAAGCAUAUCAAUAAGCGGAGGA